rnacentral:rRNA from 1 species
AACGUAGGAGACAAACGUUAUCCGGAGUUACUGGGCGUAAAGGGCGUGUAGGUGGUAGAGUAAGUCUGGCGUGAAAUUUUUCGGCUUAACCGGGAAAGGUCGUCGGAUACUGCUUAACUAGAGGUCGGUAGAGGCGUGUGGAAUUCCGGGUGUAGUGGUGAAAUGCGUAGAGAUCCGGAGGAACACCAGUGGCGAAGGCGACACGCUGGGCCGUACCUGACACUGAUGCGCGACAGCAUGGGGAGCAAACAGG